ensembl:misc_RNA 7SK 7SK RNA
GGCUGUGAGGGCGAUCUGGCUGUGACAUCUGUCACUCCAUUGAUCGCCAGGGUUGAUUCGGCUGAUCUGGCUGGCUAGGCGGGUGUCCCUUCCUCCCUCACCGCUCCAUGUGCGUCCCUCCCGAAGCUGCGCGCGAAGCUGCGCGCGAGGUCGAAGUGGACGACCACCCCCGAUAGAGGAGGACCAGUCUUCGGUCAAGGGUAUACGAGUAGCUGCGCUCCCCUGCUAGAACCUCCAAACAAGCUCUCAAGAGAUGAAAAUAUCUUAUUUCAGUCUGUGGUUUGGUGAUGUGAUUAAUAGGGAAAUGGCAGUGCUGGAGAUGCUGAUCCUG